ACAGAUGAAGACGACUUUCUUAGUGCAAGAAGAUUUCUGAUUUGCUGAGAGCACCAGUAAAAGUGUGAAUGACCAAUAAAAGAAAUCUAGCACAGGCUUUGAAUCUCAUGAGAAUAUAUUUUUUAAGGUUAUGGGACUGGGAAGAACCAGCAUAUUUGAUGGUUGUGAUUAGCACAUCCUUCCAAAAGUUAUCUGUGGGUGGGGAAGCCCAUCUUCCACUGCAAGGGCACCUCCUCCACCACUUGUACUUGAAGCAGAAUCUGAACAGCUCAACACAAACAAGAGCUGACACUGGAGAAGAAAGAAAAUUAAUUCUGAUGGGUUUACCAGGACAAGGAACAUAGAGCCUUGGCCCAGAGGCUCCAGAGAACAGACUGUGUGAAUUUACUGAGACCCAGAAAUUCGGUUAUACCAUACAAAAUCCCCUUAGAAGCAACCCAUUAUUGUCAGAGUAAGUCCAAAUUUCAGAUUCUUAAGAUUUUAUAGCACUCAAAUUCAAUCUGUUGACAUGUAUAUGAUCAGAGAAACAUGGCACUACCACAAAUGUAUUUAAUCUGAAGCAUAUUUCACAUUUUAAGGAUUUCAAAAAUAAAAUGCUAGCUGUCAUUUUGUGAAAAAAAUUA